rnacentral:lncRNA from 1 species
GGGAUAAUUCGAGAGACAGAAGCUAAUUUUAGAGUUCGUUCUUCUCCAUAUGAAUACCAGAUUAGUGUAGUUUCAUCCUGUUAAAGAUACGAAAAAUGAAGCCAUUGAAGCGGUUAAGAUAUCUAGUAAUGAUCGUGGAGAUGCGCAACAAGAAGAAGAUGUAAAAUAAAAAACUUAUUGGUAUCAAAUGAAUCCAAUAUCCUAAUGUAAGGGAAAUUACUCACAGUAGAAAUUCUGAAUGGACAAAGUUUUGGCUUUCAUUUAUGGCUAUACUUGAUUAACUGGGAACCUUUUUUUUAAUGCAAUGAAUGCCUUAAUGAGCAAGAGAGAGGAAUAUUAGGUGAAAAGUUGUCAAAUCUCACAGAGAUCAAAAUCUUGAAUAUAUAUGUUUAACCAUAUCAAAGUGAGUGUGUGAAAGGGUAGUCUACAGAAAGGGCAACAUUUUCACUGCUAGAAAGUUGGAAACUAAACUUUUACAUAGAUAAUGGGUUUUUUUUUAAUUCCCUUCACAAAUCGAAAAGCAAAUUGUUCGAGUAAUGUAGCUAAAUUCAAUAUACAUAUGUGUUGAUCUAUGUAAAAUGGUUAUAAGUUAUAACUGUAUUGUCAUAAAAUAAUAGCCAGGCCAAGAUUCCAUUCAAUUACCAUCUUUUCAGAAAGAAAACUCAAUAGGGAAAUGCACAAAAUGUAUGCAAACCCGAAAGUGAAAAAAAGGGAACCGAAUCUCCAGUGCAUCCUCCGUCCAUUUGGGUUUCUAAUGGAUUACAGAAUAAAUGUCUUUCUUCUGAGGACUCUAAACUGAACCAAAUAAAAUUAUGGAAAAUUAAACAUAAAAAAGAAAACCCAAAAUUCCACUUAUCCAAAUAAGAAAGGAAAAUAGAAUCAAACAUAAGUGGAGCCAGAGAGAGCAUACCCAAACCAAUAGUGGUGUUCCAACCCCUGCGAUUUCACAAACUUCUCAGUGGAGGAAGGAAAACACAAAAUACACCCUAGCUCACAAAUUUUGAACAAAACACUACAACUCACCACAUAACGAAAUUGUUAGGGUUUCCUCAAAACAACACAAAUCAGAAACACGAACUUACAUACAACUCUUUCAGAACAUACCUGAGUUGAAUUUGAUUUCUUAGACAACAAUCUCAAACCGCGCCGCCGCUAAAUCGACAAAAAAUCGCCGGAAAGCCAGUCCCAACUCCGGGAUCGCCGAUGAUAACAGAGAUCAACACCCUGAAAUUCUUUCCUCGACGAUCGCAAAAUCAGGAUAAAAUGAUUUUACCCAAUUUUUUCCCCCAAAAAAAACAAAGGAUCGAACACGAAGAAAGCAAGACGAAGACAGAGAAGAGGAAAAGCUUGCAAGAGACAAAAGAUAAACAGAAAGGUAAAGUGAAGAGAACGUAAUCGAAGCUCACUAACAAAAGAUGAUCAACGUGUGGUAAUAAGGGGCAAAACAGGCAUUUAAGUGUGCAAAACAGGCAGCAAAACAUCAAACAAAAUAAAAAAUCAAGG